rnacentral:rRNA from 1 species
UACGUAGGGGGCGAGCGUUGUCCGGAGUUACUGGGCGUAAAGGGCAUGCAGGCGGUCCGACACGUUUUGUGUGACAGCGGGUGGCUUAACUACCCGAGGAUACGAAAGACGGUGGGACUUGAGGACUCGAGAGGGACACGGAAUUCCGGGUGGAGUGGUGAAAUGCGUAGAGAUCCGGAGGAACACCAAAGGCGAAAGCAGUGUCCUGGCGAGUGACUGACGCUGAGGUGCGAAAGCCAGGGGAGCGAACGGG